AAUGGGUAUGCCGAGAAAACAUGCAGUUCCCCUAUAAGCCGGGACCAGAGCGGCGUUUCCUCCUCCGGCCUCAGCCUGCAACAAGGCUGAUCCAUCUCAGAGGUGGAGUCUGGGGAACAGGGGAGUCUGAGGGCUGGAGGUGGAGUUUCAUAACACAGAUGGAUGUUCACCACCAUGGCUUUCUCAGACUUUUAAACCAGAAUGAGGUUCAGAGAGCUGUCAGAGGAUGUUGAAUGAACAGAAAUGGAAAAUUGGAACCAAUAUACAUUGAGCUACUUUGUGAAUCACAGUGGGAAAGCGUUGGAGUCCCAGCCUCACAUCACUUAAGACCCCACUCACUCAUAUCCACUGACAGCAGCACUCUCGCAGCCUGCUCCCCAUACCAGGGGGCACUUUCUCCAGGAUGAGCAAGAAAAACUGUUCUCCACUGUACCAGAUAUGGGUUUGAUGAAUUCAGCCCUGUGCAUAUCCAUGAAGGCCACCCAAGAACUUCCAGAAACUUCUGGUUCACCAUGAUCACCAGAAGAACAUCAAUGGAAUUAUUUCCAGUGCCUCGACACUUUGAAGGGAGGCUCAGUGUCCUGAGGCCAAGAUCAGAGGCCCCUUUAAGGUCCCCAGUGGCCAGGGAGGUAGCCUCAGGCUCAGGGCUGACAUCUUACCUGAACUCGAAUAACUGGGAGAUGAAACAGGAAGCUCUGUGACACACUUGAUCGAAAAUGACACAGAUCGAAAAAUCAGGAUUUGACCCCCACCUCCAGCACCUUUACCUGCUGCCAGCAGAUCACAGCUGGAAAGCAGGCGAAGGGUUUGCCCUGGGACCAAAUUCUAACCACCAUGGAUUCUUGAGGGCCUCUGCACUCACUGGUGAUGUGUCUGCGAUAUUUUGGUCACUGUCAACUCUGGUCAGUUUCCUAUUUAUCUGGUCAGUGUCUUGUGUCUUACUCCUUUCUCCUUCAUUAAAAGCAAAACUAAAGAAAACUGAAUUGUUUGUUUAUUAGCUACAUUUGAACACUAAUUUAAGGGAACAGUGUUUGAGAUGAAUUUCUCCAAGGCCACAAAUAAAAAUCUUAUCAUAACCACACGGAUCAUCAUGACAUCGUUAUAUUGUGUUGAACUUGAAUCUUUUAUUACUCAGCCAUGUUUGUCCUACUUCUUAUAUCUCUUUAGAUCUCCCUUGAGUCAGUAUGAGCAAGUUGACAUUUGAGAAGAGCAUUGGGAUUCGUCUGAAAGUCUCUUUCCACACCCACCCUGAUCGAGGACUGUAGCUGUGAACCCAAGAUUACUCCCAACCUUGAGCUUUACACUGGAGAGACCUCAGAUUUCUUUGCUCCCUCUCGUACUCCACAGAUCCAUCACCUCUUUGCUUAUUCAUUCCAUAUAGAUUUCUCUGGGACCCACUGUGUAGCAGGUUCUGGAGAUAAAGUAGUGGACAGGAUCAGCUCUGUCCACUUUCUGGGCAUUUCUAGCCUCCUUAUGAGCGGGCUUUGUUCAGUAAGUGUCAAGGAUUGCUGUGUGCAGCUUGUCACGGGCAUUGUAUUGAGAUGCACUGAUUCCCUGGAUCCACCCACUCUUCAAACCUGAGACACUGGGUUUGGCACUUGGAUAUUCUUUGAAAUGAUUGAUUUCUUCUGCAGAGUCCCUCUGUUCACCAUAGUCACAAGCAGGACAGUGUGACCUUCCUGGGGACAGGCCAAAGAGGCCAUUGGUAGCCACCUCCCAGUUCUUUUUUUUUUUCCAGUACCUGGGAUCGAACUCAGGACCUUGAGCUUGCGAGGCAGGCAGGAGCAUGACUGAGCUAAAUCCCCAGCCCCUCCCGUGCUUUUUGCCCAUCUUCACUUUUAAAUGUCC
rnacentral:lncRNA from 1 species